UACGUAGGGUGCAAGCGUUGUCCGGAAUUACUGGGCGUAAAGAGCUCGUAGGUGGUUUGUCGCGUUGUUCGUGAAAACUCACAGCUCAACUGUGGGCGUGCGGGCGAUACGGGCAGACUGGAGUACUGCAGGGGAGACUGGAAUUUCCGGUGGAGCGGUGAAAUGCGUAGAGAUCGGAAAGAACACCAACGGCGAAAAGCACUCUGCUGGGCCGACACUGACACUGAGAGACGAAAGCUAGGGGAGCGAAUGGG
rnacentral:rRNA from 1 species